CUGUCCCACAGCCCCCAGCCCUGCCCUGAGCUCUGCCCUGCCCCACCUGGCCGGGCUCAACCCCAGGACCUUCAGGCUCCUGCAGGCUGAGCGGCGGCUGCUCCAAAAUGCUGUCAGGAACGUCCUGGACGGGGAGUUACUGGGCAGGUUCCUGUACCUGAGCGCCAUGGAGAGGGGGGAGCUGGCCAAGAAAAUCGGGACCACCCCGGAUAUGAUCCUGGACGACCUCCUGGAGAUCGACCGAGUCACGGCCCACUUCUGAGGGGCUUCGGGACCCCCAAUUCCCCCCCACUCCCACCCCAAAAUCCCCCCAAAGUGCACAUUUGUAAUAAAACCCAAACCCCCA